CUCAAAACACUAACCCAACACCACAGCAGCCCACCGAAAUUCCAUGCCCAAUAUAGAUAACCCGACCCACACCCUUAUUCUUUUUUCCACUUUACAGCAAAACACCACCACCAAUUUCAACGCUAAUGGCGUACACAACAACGUUAACAACAACAACAUCAAACAUCAAACAAUAACUUCAACCAAGAAAACCAUAAAACCGACAUCAACAACAAGGACAUCAACGAUAUUCCACCAUACCUACGACAACAGACAACAACGGAUAACACCAGCUGCAACGGUGGCUUCAGCCGACCCAACAGCAACGAAAAACCCGACACCAAUAACAUCAACCCGAUCUGGUGCGAACACCAAAAUUCAACCAAGCCAACCUCUCUCUAUUUUAUCUCUGCAUUUUUUAGACCUAGAGCCAUCCUUUUUUAAUUUGUUUGCUCAAGAUUGUGUGUAUUCAAUAUCAAAAUUCAAUCCAAAUCAGGAGAUGUCAAUUCAAAUUCAAAAUUUUGGGGAUAUGUUUCUCUAUUUUAAAGAUAAAAAAAUUAAUAUCUUCCCCCGUAAAUAAGGAUUGAGGGGAAGAAGGCAAAAAAGGGGAAUUUUGGAAAAAAAUUUGGAGAUUCUGGGGCGCACACUCCUAAUCUUACGCAAUCAAAAUUCUCAAAGAGCCCUCGAAAGAUUGAAAUUCGACGUUCUCGUUCAAACUCUAUUGGUUAGAAUCAAUUCGAGGUGGUGGAAGCUUCAUCGUCAUAAAUUUGUUCGUCCCAGUUUCUGCUCCCGAAAAGUCUCUCGAACACUCUUUCCUUGAUUCUGUUGGAUUAAAUCCAAAUUGCAUCGAGUAAAGAUCCGUACCAAAUUCAAAGUGGACUAAUAAUGAAGUAAAAUUAGACAGAUACAAAGCUGUAUACACAGAUAUACAGCGGUAUACUAAGGAUAUACGAUUGAAAGUGAGAGAGGAAUGCUAGUAUACUGGUGGAAAUGCAUACGUAAAUGACCAACAUAUGGUCAUGUAUAUUUCAGAUAAACAAAAACGCAGCAGCAGUAAAACUGAUAUAUUGUCAGUAUACAACUGGAUAUACACUGCAGAAAUGGACCAAAAGUUCAUAAAGAAUAGGCUCAAAAGUUGGCUAGAUUUGAAAAGGGCCCAAUCUUAACUCUUUUCUCUUUAAUUUUCAUUUUAAACUUAUUUAUUUGUGCACUUAAUUAAUUAGUCUAGACAAAUCCCCUUAGAUUUUGCUAUUUUUAGUUAUCGUCAUUUUCUUCUCGUUACUUA